rnacentral:rRNA from 1 species
UGGGGAAUUUUCCGCAAUGGGCGAAAGCCUGACGGAGCAAUACCGCGUGAGGGAUGACUGCCUAUGGGUUGUAAACCUCUUUUUUCAGGGAGGAAUCAAUGACGUGUACCUGAAGAAUAAGCAUCGGCUAACUCCGUGCCAGCAGCCGCGGUAAGACGGAGGAUGCAAGUGUUAUCCGGAAUCACUGGGCGUAAAGCGUCUGUAGGUGGUUUAAUAAGUCAACUGUUAAAUCUUGAGGCUCAACUUCAAAAUCGCAGUCGAAACUAUUAGACUAGAGUAUAGUAGGGGUAAAGGGAAUUUCCAGUGGAGCGGUGAAAUGCGUAGAGAUUGGAAAGAACACCGAUGGCGAAGGCACUUUACUGGGCUAUUACUAACACUCAGAGACGAAAGCUAGGGUAGCA